rnacentral:rRNA from 1 species
UUUGAACGCUGGCGGCAUGCUCUACACAUGCAAGUCGAAAGGCAGCGCGGACGUCGCUCUGGUCGCGAGCGGCGAACGGGUGAGUAAUACAUCGGCACGUGCCCAAUCGAGGGGGACUACGUAGCGAAAGCUACGCUAAUACCGCACACGAUCGAAGGAUGAAAGCGGGGGAUCGCAAGACUUCGCGCGAUGGGGGCGGCAGAUGGCAGAUUAGGUAGUUGUUGGGGUAAAGGCUCACCAAGCAGACGAUCUGUAGAUGGUCUGAGAGGACGACCAGCCACACUGGGACUGAGACACGGCCCAGACUCCUACGGGAGGCAGCAGUGGGGAAUUUUGGACAAUGGGCGAAAGCCUGAUCCAGCCAUUCCGCGUGCAGGAUGAAGGCCCUCGGGUUGUAAACUGCUUUUGUACGGAAGAAACGACUCUUGCGAGAGGCAUUGACGGUACUGUAUGAAUAAGCACCGGCUAACUCCGUGCCAGCCGCCGCGGUAAGAC